GCUGGGCGUGGUGGUGCAUGCCUGUAAUCCCAGCUACUUGGGAGGCUGAGACAGAAGAAUUGCUUGAACCCAGGAGGCGGAGGUUGCGGUGAGCCGAGAUCGCGCCAUUGCACUCCAGCCUGGGAAACAGAGCAAGACUCCGUCUCAA
rnacentral:SRP_RNA from 1 species